rnacentral:lncRNA from 1 species
UCUCUUUUCAUCAAUAGUAUACCAAAUUAGUAGAAAAGAUUUUUUCCAUAAGAUUUUUUAAAAAGUAAGCCAUUAAAUAUUUGUUACAAAUGUGAUAGCACAAAUGUUUUCUUUUUGAAAGAUUAAUAAGGAUUCAUCAUUUUCUGUUUCAGAUUCAAUUAAAAGUGAAUAUACCACAAGCCCCUCGUAGUGUUUUAUGGUGUCCACGGACAUCCUGUUUAAGUGCAAACAUUUCUUUGAGGCAUUUUGCUCUUUAGUUAAUUGCAGAAUCAUCAGCUCUCCAGCUCACUUGCCAAUGUUAUUCUGUCUCAUUCCACUUAAUAGCAGUUGUAUGCUCACACUUUGCAGACUGAAGCAAUGUGGAUGUUUUACCUUUUCUUUCUUGCUUGCUUUUUUUUGGCCACACCCACAGCAUAUGGAAGUUCCCGGGCCAGGGAUUGAAUCUGAGCUAUGGCUACAAACUACGCCAUAGCUGUAGCAACGCCAGGUCUUUUACCCACUGUGCUGGGCCAGGGAUCAAACCUGCACCUCGGCAGCAACCCAAGCCACUGCAGAGACAAAGCUGGAUCCUUAACCUGCUGUGACACAAGGGGAACUCCCUGGACACUUUACCUUUGUCAUACUGUGUGGCUUGUUGAACUUUCAGCAGGGCUGAGGUUUGACGAAAUGAAGAAUUCUUUACAGUGUCAUAAAAUCCUUGGAGGCCAGGCCAUAUGUUUUGAGAUUCUUUUGGGUAUACACAGCCUGUCUGGUACACAAUUCAUGUAAGGUAUAGGAAAGAUCUGUGUCACAGUUGGUAAUCCUGGUGAAUUAGGGGACAUUGCAAGGAGCCAAUGUCCUGUGAGACUUGGGUUGUUGGACUUCUAUGCAUUAUGGUGUAAUUAUAUAUUUGACAAAAAUCAUUUUAAAGCAUAGUUUCUCAGAGUAUCUGGAUGUUUAUUUAUGUGCAGGAAAUUAUAUUUAUACUUUGCAUAUGUAAUGCUAAAUACAGGCUGUGGACCCAUGCAGUGCUUUGCACAAUCCCCAAAACACAACAGUCCCAAAGAAAUAUUUGUUCGAUGGAAAUAGAUUUGAAACAUAAUAUAGAUGAGAAUGGGAUAGGAUCCCUCUUCGGAAGCAGUAGAUGCCACAUCCACUGGUUGAAGUUGCCACGAAUCUGUGUUUUUUGGACAAGAUUAACUUUUUGGAGGAAACUCAAGAGUAAGCUGUAAAUUCAAUUUACUGAUGAGAUAGCUAUACUUGUCUCGAUGCUAUUAGGAAACAACCUACUUUAAAAGUUCCCAAUGAAAAAUCAUCUGUAAACAUAGGUGUGUUAGCAUUUUCUGAAAGCAUGUUGGACCAUCUGAAAGCAAGGGACCAUCCCAAUUACAAAUACAAAUAAAAAGAAGAUGGUUGACAUAGAAGCUAUGCCCAGGGUCACAAAACUCUUGAAGGGAGCUAUCCAGAUCAUCUAGUCCAACCCCUUUGUGGAAAAGAUGAGGAUUCUUUGCGAUGGAACAUGAUGGAGGAUAAUGUGAAAAAAAGAAUGUAUGUUAUAUGUAUAUAACUGGGUCACUUUGCUGCACAGCAGAAAUAGACAGAACAUUGUAAAUCAACUAUAAUAAUUGUUUUAAUUUUAAAAAGACAAAGAUGAGGAUAUGGAGAGCCAGGGUGGUCACUCUUUUCCUAGUGUUCCUUAGGGAGGUGAUUCAGCCUAUUUUUUUCUUUGUAUUUUUCUUGCUCUUUCAUCACUUCAUUUACUCCAUAAAUAUUUUUUGAAUGCCUGCUCUUUGUGCUAAUCAUUGUUCAAUGUGUUAAAGAAGCAAAAAAGAUGAAUCAUUUUUUGACUGUACCAAUUCCCCUAGGAAAGGGGGAAUUGGAGAGAAAAUUUAACUAUUAUAGCUACAUACAGCUUUAAAGAUUUCCAAGUAGUUUGGCAUAGCUUGUUCUAUUUAACCAUGACAAACAACUUUCAGUUGUAAGCACACAACUUUCAGUAUUUCUUUAGACCUGACUAAGGAAGCACCUUCUCUUCUCGUCAGCAAGCAUCCUUCUAAGUGAGAAUGACCCAAGAACUGUCACUGACCUGGAUCUCCAAAUAGCAUUUGAAAACAUGUGAGACCAGUGGAAUUUAAUAUGUGUUUCUUUUUGGUACCAGCCAGACUUGUAAAAAUUAGGGCAGUAUGAGCUAAUCCUCCUGAAUCUGUUGACCAUUGAUGAUUAAAAUACUAUAAUUAUCAGAGAUUUAUCUCUAAUAAUGGUCUUCCCAUCUCCAAGGCAGUUAUCAUAAUGCAAAUCUCCCAGGUAGGGGAGUAAUGACUGACCACACCUAUGAGCAAAGCCAACUUUAUCCCCCAGAUACUUUAAAUAUUUAGCUUGCUCAACCUCCAAAAUGGAUUCUCUGGCCAUGGAGUCUCAGGGUUAAAGAUUUUUGGGGAUCAGGGGGUGAGUCAUGAUGUACAACUCAUUGCUCAUAAGAAAUUAUCAGACAAUGCAGUUAUAACCUACUAGGGGAUGUUUCAUGGUAGUGACUAUAGCCGAUGGUGAAUGCUAUCUGGGGAUUAAUUCCCCAAUUGCUUACUUGGGGAAGCUUCACCAGGAGCAGGAUAUAAAGGCAUAAUGUGUUUGCUAAUCUCCCCAACUUCUGUAACUAGGAUUGAAGGCGUUUAUAAUUUAGUGGGAGGAAGCAAGAAAUUAUUUUAUUUUUUCAGUUGCACCCACUGGAUGUGGAGGUUCCCAGGCCAGGGCUCGAAUCCAAACCACAGCAAUGACCCAAGCCACAACAGUGACACUGCCAAGAUCCUUCACCUCCUGAGCCACUAGGAAACUCCAAAAUGAGAAGUUUUAAUACUUUUGCGUAAAGGAGAAUCACUUCUCAUAGUCAGUAGACUGAGGCGAGUAUGUCAGAGAAGACUUUCUGAAGGGUCAGAUCUGAUCUUAGUCCCCAAAGAUGCAUGAGGGUUGGCCAGGUGACAAAUGUCAGAAAGGUGUGCUAAGCAAAGGAAACAAAACGAGCAAGGUUACAGAGGCAGAAAACAGGAAGGGGGUUUCGGAGACUACAGUUUAGUGUUAGUAAAGUAGGAAAAGCGAGGCAAAGAGUGCUAGGUGCUGAGGCAAGAGAGGUGGCUGCUACCACCAUGAAGAUUCCAAGCAGUAGACCUGGCUAAUGACCGCCUGUGUAGGGAUGGCGGAAGCAGCAAUAGAGAUCAUUUCUGCCUAUGGAGACCGUGAUCUCCUAGUCACAGUGGUUGUCAGCAGUUCAGCUCGAAAAAAAUGUAGGAGAUCAGAACAUGCCACCCUCAAAUAUGCCACUUUGGCAUAAGGGUUAUUUUGAACUCAAAUAUAUUGGUUUCUCAUUUGAGAAACAGCAGAUUUCCCAAAAACUCUCCCCUUUUCUCCCCUUAGCCUAAAAGCAGGACAAAAAAUUUCCAUUUUUAAAGAUGUCUCACUCUCUCAUAUCAGGAAGAGGAGGGCAACUCUUAGAUUCUUAAUUAUGGGAGACAACUCUGGACCCAUCACCUCUGAGAAGAAGCAAGAAGAAUCUACAUAACACACCUAAAUAAAAUAACCUUCAUCUUCUAUCGCUCUGCCCCCAUACAUUUACUAUUCCAGUUUUUCGACCCGAAAAGCUAAACCUAUUUUCUCUGCUUGUCGCUUCUCUACAAAUUUACUGUUCUUUGUUGAGACACUAUAUAAGCUCUAAGUUCUAACCACCCCUUUGAGUUACCUGUCAGUUUCUCCAGAGUGUAUGUGCUCUGCACUUGUUAAUAAACUGUUUUUCUCUUAUAAAUCUGUCUUUUAUCAGUUUAAUUUCCAGGGCCCCAGCCAGAGAACCUAGUGAGGCAGAGGAAGAGUUGUUCCCUCCCCUUCAAAGGCAAUGUCUUCUGAAUAUCUUGUUUUAGUCAAACUUUGCACAUAACUAUCUUUUGGAAGAAUGAAGUUAAAGCAGGUCAUAUAAAAAUCUUUGCCAAAAGUCAAUGUUUCUUUUUACCUAACCCAAGACUAAUAAUUAAGGGAUUUCCUAGAAGAGCCAUCAAGUACCUCUACCCAGACUGCACUGCAUAAUUCCAGGAGCUCUGCUGUAGGCUAUAGUAUGAAUGAUGCCUCCUGGCAUUGUGUAGUGCAAUACCCCUGUUUGGAACUGAAUUGACUUUAACAUGAGGAGAAACACAUUAAGCAGAGGGUCUAGCACUUUGAUUUCCUUCAAAGUUUCAAAAUUCACCUCUUAAAAACACCAGCCAGUUGACAAGAGACAUGGAACUCUUUCAUAUACUCUGUCUAGUGAGCUCAGUUUCCUUGACCUCAUAAAUAAAAGGUCCAAUAGAAUAUCCAGGACCUUUUAUUUAUGAGUCCAUAUUGAUGGGGGUUGAUGUGUUUUUUUUUCUUAUUCACAGACACGGGAAUUAUAGUUCAGAUAAAUCAAAGCACCAGGGUUCUCUUGUGGUGCAGAAGGUUAAGGAUCCAUGGUUGUCAC